CAAAGACAAUUUUUUUGAAGUUGAAUGAAAUGACAAACAAAUACAAUAAUUCAUAUUUAAAUUAGCACACAUGUAUUUUGUUUAAAUAACGCGGCCAGUAUUAUAUUAAAACUCUUUCUCUUCAUGUAAUAUUUGUGAUCCACUCCCAAUCUAACUUUGAGGCAUUAGAUUAGGAUUGGAUCACCGGUCAGUUUCAGAGUCAUAGUAACCUUGUUAUGCAAUUCUCCUGCUGGGCAGCUCGCUGUAGUACAGUGGUUUGCGGCUGAUCUAGGUCAGAAUUUGAAUUCUGAUAAACAAGAUGUGCGCGUUUUCUUGUUGCCGAUUUAAAAGAAAAGCUUUUGCAUCAUAUAAGCAAUAAAAAUAAGUGCUGGACUAUUAACUCUAUUCUCGCUACCGACAUUUCCAUCUUCAUGAUUAACAUCUGAGUUGCAUUCAAAUUACCAAAUUAAAAAGACCCGCCUUUGUUGAAGACAAAAUUUGUGGUGCUUAUAUACACAUAUAAAGAGCUCAUAUCAGAGGAUAGACUACUUCAUUGGGAGCCCUUUCAGUGUUUGUGAUUCUGAAUAAUAGAUCCACCACUCUGCUGAUUCUGUAGUGAACAAAAGUUGUAAUUAUAUGCUUUUGCAGAAUCAUAAAUAAGCAGUGAUAUCAAUGAGUUAGGGAUUAUUCUUAAAGAAGAAUGGAUUUCUGUGAUUCUGUUCUUAUAAAAUUCAGUGAAUAGUUUGGAUAAUGUUUUAUAUUAAGAUCGUCAUCUUAUUAAGGAAGAUCAUUUGUUGGAAUUAUAUUUAUAUGACGUCAUGGUU